AGUGAAUUUGUGGGUCAGGUUCGUUCGUAUAUCAGGUCCUAGCGUGUUUAGUCGCAUGCCGCUUUAUUGACGUUUCUAGUCGCUUAGAGUAGUACUUCUUCAUGAUCUGCUUUGCUCGCCGAGGUUUUUGUCACGGAGGCACGUUUUACUCGGUAGGCGAAUUACUUCGAUAUAAGAGCUCAAGCUUAUCUCAUCGGUUUUCGUUAGAAAACCGGUUUAGACCGAAAUCAGGGAUUAAUUUCGGUUUGGCAUCUCGAUUAGAGAUCGGUUUGAACGAGAAACCGAACCGUCGCGAGUAAGCCUUUGGGUAUUUAGGCGGCCUUUGAGGCCCAUUUAGGUUUCUUUAGACCUAAUGAUUGCGCUUCGGAGGAUGUGCCCUUGUUUUUGCUAUAAAUAGGCUCCUCCCUUUGGCUUUCGUCAUUCUUCUCUGCAAGUUCAGGUAUUCCGGUUUCUCUCCCUUCUCUCUACUUUUACUUUCUCUCUCUAGGUACGUUUCUCUUCACACAAGCUUGUCGGUAUCGUCUGGCGGUUGUAGUCGUCCCCUAAAUCCAGGAUCAUGCCUCUGAGAGGUCGUUUGUCGCGAGAAGAAAAAGGGAAGGGCGUCACAGAUUCUCCGAGUCCGACCAGAGAUGAACGGGCAGCUGACAGCCCGCUGGAUGAUUUCGACU
rnacentral:lncRNA from 1 species